GGGAAGUUGGCUCAGUGGUAGAGUGCUUGCCUCUCAUGCAUGAGGCCUGAGGUUCAAUUCCUCAGCCCCA
rnacentral:tRNA from 1 species